CCCUAAGUUUUGAUAACAGAAAUUCAAUUCUCGCUCCAAGUUGGAGCUGCUUUCUCUCCAUUGGACCAUUAGAGGUAUCUCUUUUUCUCAAGAAUUUCCAUAUUCUCCUUAUUCUAGUGCUCCUUUUUAUUGUAUUGGAGAGAAUUAUACUUCUCCUUAAAUCGAUAGUUGUUUAUAUACAAACACAUUCUUUGGCAGCCUAAUUUGAAGCUCUGGAAUGCUUCCCAUGUAGCGUAAAUACAGACACAUGCACGUAUGCUUAAAGAAUUAGAGCUUUGAAAGAGGAAAAGAAUGGUAAGACUGUUCUUUCCCUUCCACAUUAUCUCACAACCAUGAUAUGGGAUUGCAUUUAGAACUUGACCAUAAAAUAGAUCUUCAGGUAAGAUGAUGGUAUACGCAUACUGUUCUUGAUCAAAGGGCACCAUGAUCAUGAAAUUAACUGUUGACUUAAAGUCUUCUAUGGGAAGUUUACCAGAGAAAACAUGUUUUGAAGGUCAUCAUAAAUGGUUCUCCCCCUCCCCAAUAGAGCAUCAUGGAUUAUUGUUUGUCUGAUUUGCUUGAGCUCAUUUGUUCUCAUCACAAGUUGUCAGGAUAAUUUUAAUUUCAAUUAUGUGUCCAGAAGUUGCUUAGAUUUGUAUUUUUUUUUGUUUUUUUCAAUGAUGGUAUUGCUUCUCUGUCCUACCUACCCUAAAUCAUUAGGUUUACCUACCAAGUCUUUGGUGCCUGAACGUUGUGACCAACCAAAAGCUUGCACGGCAU
rnacentral:lncRNA from 1 species